CAAUAGCGUAUAUUAAAGUUGUUGCAGUUAAAAAGCUCGUAGUUGGAUUUCUGGUUGAAGCGACCGGUCGGGCGUUGAUUCGUCUGCACUGGAGCCGGUUUUGGCCAUCCUCUAGGAAAGUGCGUCUGGUAUUAAGUUAUCGGGCGUAUGAUCCUGGUCUUUUACUGUGAAAAAAUUAGAGUGUUUAAAGCAGGCCUUCGCCUUGAAUACAUUAGCAUGGAAUAAUAAGAUAGGACUUUGGUCUAUUUUGUUGGUUUGCAGACCGAAGUAAUGAUUAAUAGGGAAUAGUUGGGGGUAUUUAUAUUCCGAUGUCAGAGGUGAAAUUCUUAGAUUUUCGGAAGAUAAACUUAUGCGAAAGCAUUUACCAAGGAUGUUUUCAUUAA
rnacentral:rRNA from 1 species